rnacentral:rRNA from 1 species
AGACCGUUCUCUUCAGAGGCCGGUCAUUGGAAUGGGUACAAUUUAAACCCUUUAACGAGUAUCUAUGAGAGGGCAAGUCUGGUGCCAGCAGCCGCGGUAAUUCCAGCUCUCAAAAUGCAUAGAAUCAUUGCUGCGGUUAAAAAGCUCGUAGUUGGAUCUGUGCUGGCGGGUCGGUCCACCUUCGGGUGCGCACUGAUUUCGCCGGCUUUCCUGCUGUAUUUGGCCCUGUGCCUUUCAACGGGUGCAGUGUCCAGUGCAGCAAGUUUACCUUGAACAAAUCAGAGUGCUUCAAACAGGCAUUUCGCUUGAAUGUUCGUGCAUGGAAUAAUAGAAGAGGAUUUCGGUUCUAUUUUAUUGGUUUUAUAGACUGAGAUAAUGGUUAACAGGGACUAACGGGGGCAUUAGUAUUGCUACGCGAGAGGUGAAAUUCUUGGACCGUAGCAAGACUGACUACAGCGAAAGCAUUUGCCAAGAAAGUCUUCAUUAAUCAAGAACGAAAGUCAGAGGUUCGAAGGCGAUCAGAUACCGCCCUAGUUCUGACCGUAAACGAUGCCAACUAGUGAUCCGCCGGUGGAACAUUCGCCCUGGUGGGGAACUUCCCGGAAACGAAAGUCUUCCGGUUCCGGGGGAAGUAUGGUUGCAAAGCUGAAACUUAAAGGAAUUGACGGAAGGGCACCACCAGGAGUGGAGCCUGCGGCUUAAUUUGACCCAACACGGGAAAACUCACCCGGCCCGGACACCGUAAGGAUUGACAGAUUGAUAGCUCUUUCAUGAUUCGGUGGAUGGCGGUGCAUGGCCGUUCUUAGUUCGUGGAGCGAUUUGUCUGGUUUAUUCCGAUAACGAGCGAGACUCUGGCCUACUAAAUAGUUUACACAUUGCUUCUGUGUGCAUAACUUCUUAGAGGGAUUUUCGGUGUUCAGCCGCAAGAAAUUGAGCAAUAACAGGUCUGUGAUGCCCUUAGAUGUCCGGGGCUGCACGCGCGCUACACUGGCAAAAUCAGCGUGCUUGUCCUUCCCCGAAAGGGGUUGGUAAACUCGUGAAAAUUUGCCGUGAUUGGGAUCGGAAAUUGCAAUUAUUUUCCGUGAACGAGGAAUUCCAAGUAAGUGCGAGCCAUCAACUCGCGUUGAUUACGUCCCUGCCCUUUGUACACACCGCCCGUCGCUGCCCGGGACUGAGCCGUUUCGAGAAACUUGGAGACCGCUGAUCUGGUAACUUCGAUUGCCAUUUUGGUGGGAACCAGUUUAA